rnacentral:rRNA from 1 species
CCCUUAGAUGUUCUGGGCUGCACGCGCGCUACACUGACACACGCAACGAGUCUCCUGCCCUGACAGGGUCGGGUAAUCAUUUGAGUGUGUGUCGUGAUGGGGAUAGGGUAUUGCAAUUAUUGCUCUUGAACGAGGAAUUCCUAGUAAGCACAAGUCAGCAGCUUGUGCUGAUUACGUCCCUGCCCUUUGUACACACCGCCCGUCGCUCCUACCGAGGGGGUGAUCCGGUGAAUGAUUCGGACUCUGGUGCUUCUAGCUGCUAGAUGCGCCGGAGGAAGUUUUGUGAACCUUAUCACUUGGAGGAAGGAGAAGUCGUAACA